CCUACGGGGGUCAGCAGUGAGGAAUAUUGGUCAAUGGUCGGGAGACUGAACCAGCCAAGCCGCGUGAGGGAUGAAGGUACAGAGUAUCGUAAACCUCUUUUGUCAGGGAACAAAGGCGGGGACGCGUCCCCGGAGGAGUGUACCUGAAGAAAAAGCAUCGGCUAACUCCGUGCCAGCAGCCGCGGUAAUACGGAUGAUGCGAGCGUUAUCCGGAUUUAUUGGGUUAAAAGGGUGCGCAGGCGGCCUGUUAAGUCAGCGGUCAAAGCCCGGGGCUCAACCCCGGCCCGCCGUUGAAACUGGCAGUCUCGAGUUGGAGAGAAGUAUGCGGAAUGCGCGGUGUAGCGGUGAAAUGCAUAGAUAUCGCGCAGAACUCCGAUUGCGAAGGCAGCAUGCCGGCUCCACACUGACGCUGAGGCACGAAAGCGUGGGUAUCGAACAGGAUUAGAUACCCUGGUAGUC
rnacentral:rRNA from 1 species